rnacentral:rRNA from 1 species
ACGAACGCUGGCGGCGCGCCUAACACAUGCAAGUCGAACGGAGUCAAGAGGAGCUUGCUUUUCUUGACUUAGUGGCGAACGGGUGAGUAACGCGUGAGUAACCUGCCCUGGAGUGGGGGACAACAGUUGGAAACGACUGCUAAUACCGCAUAAGCCCACGGAUCCGCAUGGAUCUGCGGGAAAAGGAUUUAUUCGCUUCAGGAUGGACUCGCGUCCAAUUAGCUAGUUGGUGAGGUAACGGCCCACCAAGGCGACGAUUGGUAGCCGGACUGAGAGGUUGAACGGCCACAUUGGGACUGAGACACGGCCCAGACUCCUACGGGAGGCAGCAGUGGGGGAUAUUGCACAAUGGGGGAAACCCUGAUGCAGCGACGCCGCGUGGAGGAAGAAGGUUUUCGGAUUGUAAACUCCUGUCGUUAGGGACGAUAAUGACGGUACCUAACAAGAAAGCACCGGCUAACUACGUGCCAGCAGCCGCGGUAAAACGUAGGGUGCAAGCGUUGUCCGGAAUUACUGGGUGUAAAGGGAGCGCAGGCGGACCGGCAAGUUGGAAGUGAAAACUAUGGGCUCAACCCAUAAAUUGCUUUCAAAACUGCUGGCCUUGAGUAGUGCAGAGGUAGGUGGAAUUCCCGGUGUAGCGGUGGAAUGCGUAGAUAUCGGGAGGAACACCAGUGGCGAAGGCGACCUACUGGGCACCAACUGACGCUGAGGCUCGAAAGCAUGGGUAGCAAACAGGAUUAGAUACCCUGGUAGUCCAUGCCGUAAACGAUGAUUACUAGGUGUUGGAGGAUUGACCCCUUCAGUGCCGCAGUUAACACAAUAAGUAAUCCACCUGGGGAGUACGACCGCAAGGUUGAAACUCAAAGGAAUUGACGGGGGCCCGCACAAGCAGUGGAGUAUGUGGUUUAAUUCGAAGCAACGCGAAGAACCUUACCAGGUCUUGACAUCCGAUGCAUAGUGCAGAGAUGCAUGAAGUCCUUCGGGACAUCGAGACAGGUGGUGCAUGGUUGUCGUCAGCUCGUGUCGUGAGAUGUUGGGUUAAGUCCCGCAACGAGCGCAACCCUUAUUGCCAGUUACUACGUAAGAGGACUCUGGCGAGACUGCCGUUGACAAAACGGAGGAAGGUGGGGAUGACGUCAAAUCAUCAUGCCCUUUAUGACCUGGGCUACACACGUACUACAAUGGCUAUAACAAAGAGAAGCGAGACAGUGAUGUGGAGCAAAACUCAAAAAAAUAGUCUCAGUUCGGAUUGAAGGCUGAAAUUCGCCUUCAUGAAGCUGGAAUUGCUAGUAAUGGCAGGUCAGCAUACUGCCGUGAAUACGUUCCCGGGCCUUGUACACACCGCCCGUCACACCAUGAGAGUUGGGGAUACCCGAAGCCUGUGAGCCAACAGUUAAAUGAGGCAGCAGUCGAAGGUAGAAUCAAUGAUUGGGGUG